rnacentral:rRNA from 1 species
GACGAACGCUGGCGGCGUGCUUAACACAUGCAAGUCGAACGGAAAGGCCCUGCUUUUGUGGGGUGCUCGAGUGGCGAACGGGUGUGUAACACGCGAGUAACCUGCCCUUGACUUUGGGAUAACUUCAGGAAACUGGGGCUAAUACCGGAUAGGAUCUCCUGCUGCAUGGUGGGGGUUGGAAAGUGUCGGCGGUUGGGGAUGGACUCGCGGCUUAUCAGCUUGUUGGUGGGGUAGUGGCUUACCCAGGCUUUGACGGGUAGCCGGCCUGAGAGGGUGACCGGCCACAUUGGGACUGAGAGACGGCCCAGAAUCCUACGGGCAGCAGCAGUGGGGAGUAUUGCGAAAUGGGGGGAAGCCGGAUGCAGCAGCGCCGCGAGCGGGAUAACGGCCUUCGGGUUGUAAACAGCUUUCGACGGUGACGAAGCGUGCGUGACGGUAAUGGGUAAAAAAGCACCGGCUAACUACGUG